AGCUUGGAGACCGCCUCCUAAAUGUCAGCAAUCGCCGGCAUCUUUCUCCGACCUUCGUGCCGCCACUUAGGCUAAGCUCACCCUUACCCAAGGCCUCAGCCAACAGACUUGACCUUCGCCUUCGCUGGUCCCAGCUGGUGAGCCAGGAUGAUCUUCUACACCUGAUCCUGUGGUUCACUCUCUCAGGCCAGAAUGUGAAUGUGGUACUAGUGAGCCAGCUCUGAUCAUGGGAAGAAAAAUACCCUAGAAGGUGGCAGAGCAAGAAGUGAGAACCAGAGUCCCUAGAUGACUUCAAAGAACAGAGACCCUCACCUACCCUGGACUGUCUGCCCAUCUGUGGGCAACUGGAGAGAAGUAAA